rnacentral:lncRNA from 1 species
AAGAAUACAAAGUGCAGUUAUUAUUUUUUGAAUAGAUGAUAAACCAAGACGACCACAAGCAUCUCUUUUCCGAAUUAAGUAUGUAUUAUGAUUUUCAACAUCAUUCAAAAUGCGAAAAAAUUACUCUUUUCGCAUCCUGUAACGUCUGCAAAAAAAAUAAGGUGGAAAAGUACAAUUUUCAGAAAAACAAUCGUUCCAUAAAAGUUGAUGACUUCGCUCACGAUCACGAUUGAUAUAUUGUCGUUGAUGUGGGUUUUCCUCUAUGGCAGAUAAUACUCCAUGAAUAAAAUUGAACAUUUCUUGAGUUUGUUUCUCCAUGCGAAUAGAAAUAAGUUCUUCCUCUGAAGAAGAGGAU